rnacentral:tRNA from 1 species
AGCGGGGUGGAGCAGUCUGGUAGCUCGUCGGGCUCAUAACCCGAAGGUCGCAGGUUCAAAUCCUGCCUCCGCAACCA